CGGUUAAGUUAGAAAGGGCGCACGGUGGAUGCCUUGGCACUAGGAGCCGAUGAAGGACGGGACUAACACCGAUAUGCUUCGGGGAGCUGUAAGUAAGCUUUGAUCCGGAGAUUUCCGAAUGGGGAAACCCGCUGCACGUAAUGGUGCAGUAUCCAUACUUGAAUACAUAGAGUAUGGAAGGCAGACCCGGGGAACUGAAACAUCUAAGUACCCGGAGGAAGAGAAAGCAAACGCGAUUCCCUGAGUAGCGGCGAGCGAAACGGGAUUAGCCCAAACCAAG
rnacentral:rRNA from 2 species